CAUAUCGGUUAUCGGACACAUAAACAUGCAAAUAAUUGGUAUCGUAUCGGUUAUAAAAAAAUCAAUGUCGGUCGAUCACUAGUUGUAAACUUGUAUUA